rnacentral:rRNA from 1 species
UACGGAGGGUGCGAGCGUUGUCCGGAAUCACUGGGCGUAAAGCGUGCGUAGGCGGUUUGUUAAGUCCGCUGUGAAAGCCCUGGGCUCAACCUGGGAAUUGCAGUGGAUACUGGCAAGCUAGAGUGCGGUAGAGGGUGGUGGAAUUCCCGGUGUAGCGGUGAAAUGCGUAGAGAUCGGGAGGAACACCCGUGGCGAAGGCGGCCAUCUGGACCAGCACUGACGCUGAGGCACGAAAGCGUGGGGAGCAAACAGGG